rnacentral:tRNA from 1 species
UAAGGGAUAGCUCAGUCGGAACACCAUGAGUCUCUUAAUCUCAGGGUCGUGGGUUUGAGCCCCACAUUGGGUAAAAG